rnacentral:rRNA from 1 species
GACGAACGCUGGCGGCGUGCUUAACACAUGCAAGUCGAACGGAAAGGCCCUGCUUUUGCUGCGUGCUCGAGUGGCGAACGGGGGAGUAAAACGUGAGUAACCUGCCCUUGACUUUGGGAUAACUUCAGGGAACUGGGGCUCAUACCGGAUAGGAGCUCCUGCUCCAUGGGGUGGGUUGGAAAGAUUCGGCGGUUGGGGAUGGACUCGCGGCUUAUCAGCUUGUUGGUGGGGUAGUUGCUUACCAAGGCUUUGACGGGUAGCCGGCCUGAGAGGGUGACCGGCCACCUUGGGCCUGCGGUACGGCCCAGACUGCUACGUGAGGCAGCAGGGGGAAAUAUUGCACAAUGGGCGGAAGUCUGAUGCAGCGACGCCGCGAUCGUGAUGAUCGCCUUCGGGUGGUAAACCGCCUUCGCCUGUGACGAAGCGUGAGUGACGGUAAUGGGUAAAGAAGCCCCGGCUAACUACGUG